rnacentral:rRNA from 1 species
GAGUUUGAUCCUGGCUCAGAUUGAACGCUAGCGGGAUGCUUUACACAUGCAAGUCGAACGGCAGCGCGGACUUCGGUCUGGCGGCGAGUGGCGAACGGGUGAGUAAUAUAUCGGAACGUGCCCAGUAGCGGGGGAUAACUACGCGAAAGCGUGGCUAAUACCGCAUACGCCCUACGGGGGAAAGGGGGGGAUUCUUCGGAACCUCUCACUAUUGGAGCGGCCGAUAUCAGAUUAGCUAGUUGGUGAGGUAAAGGCUCACCAAGGCCGCGAUCUGUAGCUGGUUUGAGAGGACGACCAGCCACACUGGGACUGAGACACGGCCCAGACUCCUACGGGAGGCAGCAGUGGGGAAUUUUGGACAAUGGGGGAAACCCUGAUCCAGCCAUCCCGCGUGUGCGAUGAAGGCCUUCGGGUUGUAAAGCACUUUUGGCAGGGAAGAAACGGCGUCGACUAAUAUUUGACGUCACUGACGGUACCUGCAGAAUAAGCACCGGCUAACUACGUGCCAGCAGCCGCGGUAAUACGUAGGGUGCAAGCGUUAAUCGGAAUUACUGGGCGUAAAGCGUGCGCAGGCGGUUUGGAAAGAAAGAUGUGAAAUCCCAGAGCUUAACUUUGGAACUGCAUUUUUAACUGCCAAGCUAGAGUAUGUCAGAGGGGGGUAGAAUUCCACGUGUAGCAGUGAAAUGCGUAGAGAUGUGGAGGAAUACCGAUGGCGAAGGCAGCCCCCUGGGAUAAUACUGACGCUCAUGCACGAAAGCGUGGGGAGCAAACAGGAUUAGAUACCCUGGUAGUCCACGCCCUAAACGAUGUCAACUAGCUGUUGGGGCCUUCGGGCCUUAGUAGCGCAGCUAACGCGUGAAGUUGACCGCCUGGGGAGUACGGUCGCAAGAAUAAAACUCAAAGGAAUUGACGGGGACCCGCACAAGCGGUGGAUGAUGUGGAUUAAUUCGAUGCAACGCGAAAAACCUUACCUACCCUUGACAUGUCUGGAGUGCCUAAGAAGAUGGGGCAGUGCUCGCAAGAGAACCGGAACACAGGUGCUGCAUGGCUGUCGUCAGCUCGUGUCCUGAGAUGUUUGGUUUAGUCCCCCAACCAAGCGCAACCCCUUUGUCAUUAUUUGCUUCGAAAAGGGCCCCUCUUAAUGAAAACUGCCGGGUUGACAAACCGGAAGAAAGGGUGGGGGAUGAACUUCAAGUCCCUUCUGGGCCCCUUAAGGGGGUAGGGCUUUCCACACCUUUCAUUACAAAUGGGUCCGGGAAAAAAAAAGGGGUCCCCCCCAACCCCCCCCCAAGGGGGGGGGAAAACCCCAAAUUCCCCCCAA